ACGGUUUUGGCAGAUUGGCCCAAAGGGGACCGCGCCAGAGGCCACAAUUAACCCGGCUGUUCGGGCAAAAAGACUGAGGCUCAAAGAGGCCAAAGGACUGUGCAGGCAGCGGCCGCUGCUCCUUCCCGUGGGCUCUGGGGUGAUGACUUCCAAAACUGGGAAUAAUUCAGAAAAGGAGCUCAGCUGCGGAGCUGCUGCUCUACACCACCCUUUUAUCUUCCCUCCUCCUCUCUGCCUCUCUUCCCUUCGGACUAGUUUUCCCCCCAUCGGUUCUAAACAGCUUCUUUCCCCCCCUGAACUUUAAUGCAUUUAAUUUGGUCCUCGCUGUGGGAAGCAUUUCCUAGGGAGAUACAUUUAAUUUCGGAAUUUCUAAUCCCCUCCCUGAGAGGCCGGGCCCUGGCUCCCCUCACUACUCCCCAGGAGGCCUCAGGAGUGGAAGGAGGAAGGCAGGCCCGGCCAGCAGGCUGGGGCACAGCUGGGGGGCUCCCGCACCCCCAGCCCCCCAGACCAAGCCACCUUCCCAAACUUCUGGAGGUGGGGUGCCUGGGCCACACCGUUCAGGGCCCAUCCUGUGGAGGGGAGGCAGCCACACCUCUAUUUUCCUCGCCCAGUGGAAAGCCCUGGGUCAGGGACUGGGAAACUGGAACAUGAGCAGAAGGAUCGCCAAAGAAUCGGUGCAACUGGGGGCAACAGACAGGAUUUCCAUAAACCCAUCCCUUCAUGCACAAUCUGCCCAGAAACCAAUUUGGGAGCUGGGGUGCUAGUUGGGCGGUUGGUUUGGCUUGGGGGGGGGGUCUGUGCGUUUGCACAUAGUAGGGCAGAGAAAGGAGCUCAAGGGGGACUACUGUCUCCUGACUCGUACACCCUAGCAGAGCAGGCACCAGGCAACCGGAGACUCAGGCAGCUUUGCUGGAGGAAGGCAGCAAGGGUGGGGGCUCUGGGCGCCAGGCAAGCCUGGCAGGGAAGGGAGUGGAGAAGGCAGAGGAAUGGAGAUCCACAAGGAAGAUUUAUUGGGCAGAUCAGAUGCACAGAGGCGGCUAAUGAAGCAAAUCCCGAGAUGGGUAUCAGAGCAACUCCCCAAAAGUUUAUUUGCCUUUAAAUUUCCGCAGGGAGGCGGGCGCCUUGUUUGAAGUGUAAAUGCCCCUGGGUUGGGGGGUGGAUGGGCCGCUUUGAAAACACCAGAGAGAAAAGGUUCAUUUAGAGGCGGACGGAAAAGCAACCAACCCUGACAGGUCGGAGCCCCGGUUGUGUUUGGGGUUGGGUUGUUUUCUUUCUUUCCCUUUCCUUUUCUCUUUCCUCUUCUUU